GCACACACACACCUACUGUCCCGUGACCUUUACUGAUCAGCUAACUAAGCUAGGUGACCUGCUAUUUAAUUUGUAUGUAACACGUCUGUACACACUAACAAGUGUUCCCUUCCGAGAGAGAAGUGGCGUGCCUUGAUGCUGCUGGUCUGCUCUUGAUGCAAGAAAUUGAGGUUUACCUAUUUAUUUAGCAAAAUUGGAUGCAUCAAGAGUGUGCUGCUACUCUAUUCUAUGUAAUAUUUAGACGGUGGGAAGAAGAGCUAUUUCCCUGUCACUUCCCUUUACACGAGCUGGGUUACAAACAAGGUCUUGAAAUGUGUAAGCCUGGGCUGGGAGACAUCAGUAGGGCAAUGACGAUACCAAGUGUUGGAUUAAAAGUUCAUCAGCUACAGUCGCUUCAAGGGUCAUUUAGUACAGGGAGCUGUGGAGGAUCGAUCCUCCAUCCAUUAAUCGCAGCCCCGUGGCUCACCAGGCAGGCUGUCCGCGAUCUGUUGAAAUACUGGAAUGUUAAUUAAGAUCCAGCAUUGGUCAACCAGUGGUGGGUGUUGCUGUGGUCCACCGUACUGCCAUCAGUUACCCUUCCUUCACUUGUUCUUCAGCGUCAAGGUGGUAAACAAGUGGAAUCCACUGAAGGAGACGAAAGAUGCAGGUUCUAUGCAAUUUUAAAUCAUGAAAAAAUACGAUAGUUCAAGAUUGGGGAUCAUGAACUCGAACUGAACUAGUUACUCUGUAAAUCUGAAGGAUUUACAUGUUUGUUGAAGAGCUGCAUUAUUAUUAAAUGGAAGGCCUUAAGCCUGAAUUGUUACACAGCGCCUUUGUGCUGGUACGUUAUCAGGUAUGAUUCCAGGAAGGUGAUUUACUGUAUGACCCUAGUAGGUUCAGCGCUUCUUUUUGCUAAUAAUAAUUAAUUAAGGAAGGUGAGUGUAGCUCCAAUUUUUUGAGUCGUGAGCACUUCGCCAGACUUAGGACAUGUUUCCUAACUCUAAGAUGGUAGGGUGCCUGUAGGGACCUCGGUAAGAAUUCUGAUGUUCUUUAAAUGACGCCGAAUAUUUUACUCUGGUACGAAAGUACUUAUUGUUUUAUUAAGUCUUUGUGUGAAUGUUUUUACCUGGAAGAGGAGGAGCGUUAGUUUCGACUUCGCAUACGUGAAAUAAACACGUGUGAGGCUGGAAUCUUUUUGCACAGUGAUGACUAAUAUUUAAGUUCCAAUGUUGUGUACGUACACACGAAAACUUCCUGAAUUAGUGACCCUGGUUUUGUACGCGUGUGAGCGAGCUAUACCACGUGCACAGUCAGGGACAUGUUAUUUCCUCAUAUUAACAUGGAAAACAAAUAAUUGAAGAACUAAACUUCCCGACUUUACACUAAUACACGAAUUAAUGAUACCAGUAAAGAUGAAAUGGGUUAGUUUAACUUUGUGAAGAGGAAUUAGUGCAGAAAGUAAUUCACAGGUGAAAUGGAUAGUGCUAGUCAAUAAGGUCCCAUUUGGCAGUAUGACGACAGGGACUGUUUAUUACAUGUUGUAUAAUCAUCGGUGGUGGCCUUGUGAGUGUAGGAAGAGUGUACAGCUGUACGAAUGUGGGGAAGGGUUGGUGGGUUAGUGGGCCUCCACCACACCUGUUAUUCAUCAUAGUUGUAUAGAGACUCAUUGUGGCAGGAGUUCCUCAGAUGGCUACUACUGAUUCUGCUCACACCUGGACCCCACCGUCAGCCAAAGUGUUGAGGGCGGGGGAGCCAAGCGAUGGGCGUACUCACGCCCACACGCUGCCCCAGGAGGACUACUACAACAGUGUGAAGUUCACAGUCGGGUACCAGGAACUGCAGGCUCGCUGGUCCAGGGGCACACCCGGGCACACACCAAGGACCUCUCACAAGACAAGCACUUUUAUGCCACACCAGGAAUUACUGACUACUCAAGCAAGGUACGCGAGCGACGCCCCACGCCCCAACAAACGACGGGAUUCGUCAGUGGACACCUCGUCUCUGGACAUACCCCACACUGUCCCUUCCUCAGUGGACACGUCCCCAGCUAUCUCUCCAAGACCAGAGAGAAUGCGUGACGAAAAAACUGUUCGGGAUAUAUCAUAUACGUUGUCUUGUGCGUGUGCGUCACAGGAGUCAUAUUGUGAGUGCGAACAGGUCUCCAGGGAGGAGGUCCAGGAUGCUGUGGGUGACCACAGUAGCAAGGGACGCUGGGCGGGCGUAGUGGACGCCUUGCGGAGAGUUCUUACGAGUCUUCGAAGUCGCCCACCACCAGCUCCCCCCAACACUUCCCUCCACAGGAAGGUGGCUGAGCUGGAGUGCGAGUUAGAGACAUACAAGCAACUCUCUGAGGCCAAGAAACGUUCUGCUGACCUCCUCAAAUAUCAGUUAAUGGAGGUGUUGUACGAGCAGGUGGUGAAGCAGGUGGAGGACCACCACCUGCGGCGCCUUCUGGAGAGGGAGGUGAUGGGGUUAGAGAUCGAGAACCACCUGUUGAGGCUGACCACUAACCAUGACCUCAUAGUUCUCUGCACACAGCUGCUCAGAGAAGCUGCAGCAUCAUCUUCAUACCGAACACCUGACUCAUGACGAAGCUACGUACCUGGGUCCUGACAUUACCACAUACAACAGUGGCAUCAUGUCUCCCAAGUUACGUCUCUUCCCCACUACCAUUCUCACGAGCUGGGCGUCGUGCAGAUGAAGAUAUACAGUGGUGGCUCUCGUCAGUGUGACAGAAAAGUUUAUGUUGAGGAUGCUGUAUAUUAUUUAUUAUUUUAAAAUGAAAGAUGUAUAAACAUUCUAAUAUGUGAUAAUAUAGUUUAGUGAAACUAUUAAGCUACCAAGUUCUACGCAGUGAUAUAGACUAUUUACUUAUGAAGUCCCUGACUUAGUAAAUCCUAGUUUAUUAUGUGAAUAAUAGUAUAUUUCUAUGACUAAUCCCGUGUUUAAAAACACAGGACUAGUCAUAAAAACACUUGACAUCACUCUAAACCAGAUUUCGUUCGCACGCGACCACUUGGGUAUCGUGAGCAAUAAAAUAUAUUAGACUGAGUCACUCAGUCACCUUGAGCUCCACAACAAGGCUUCCUCUUUAUCAUCUCACAAAUAUGUUGCCUUGGAUGUCAGGACCUUGUCUGCUCUCCAAACCACUGUGCCCUGGUAUCAUUUGAUUCCUGGUUUCUUGACCAAACUGUUGUAUCCCUUGACUUCAACAUCUACAGCGGUUCUCAACUGCACAUUCUCUAGUUAUGUCACAUUUCCAUGCAACUCGAGAAGCAGAUUAAUAAGAAUCGUCUUAGAUACCUAGAAUUCUUUUCCCUUCAAGAUGACAUACAUUGUCUUCUGAUCUUGUCUGAGCUCACAUCACCAUUACUUUAAGCUUAUUCAGGUUGAACUUGUGUGAAGAAUUGCAGAACCAGCCCUACAGUCUUUUCAAGUCUACAGUUUCUUCUAGCCAUGUAAUGUGCAUGUACUCAUCAUUGUAUACUUUAUGUACACAGAUAUAUGUUUGUAUAUAAUGUACUCGUAGGUUAGGUAUAAUGACCCGCCAUUGGAGCUUUUGGUCAUCUGAGCGAGGACUUCCGCUGGCUUACCGGUCCACUCUUUUACAAAUUAUGGUCAUAGUUAUAACCUUUUUUUGUACUCGUACACAUGAACGAUUAUAUAUACUUGACAGUUUGCUUUUAUCUCCAUUUUAAGAAUUAAUAUGCAGCAUUUAUUGCUGAUUAAUAGAGGACAGGUGAAUUAAAUAAAACCUUAGUGACUCGUGUGCAGUCGAUGAGCUUUUUACCUGCGACUUUUAAUAAAUUAUGAAUAUUUCUUAGACUAUUAUUUACAGCUCAAUUUAUUUACUUAUUUUGAAUCAUCAGUAAAUAUUUCAUACCCAUUAUAAUAAUAAUGGUAUAGAGUACUGAUAAGUACUGUAAUUCAAGCUAUAAAGUUCCCCUGAACUAAUCUGCUUGGACUUCCUACUCAUUUCCGCAAUAUUGCAAGCACCUGAUGAUCUGUUGAUUGCAAAACGAAAGGCCUAGAGCUAUUCAACUCCCCCUGUCAUUGUUUUGCAUCUUGUAUAGUUUGAUGUUUCCUUCCUUAACAUGUUUUAGUUGUUUUGAUAGUAACCCAGUAUGUCUUCAAUAUUUACACUUUACAUAUAAAGUACAAGGAACAAUAACAGUGCCAGUACUGAGCCUUGUGGGACUCCCACCAAUAUUUCUAAUCCUGAUGUCUCAGUAUUCUUGCUGUCUUCACUUUAUCAUCUCUACAGCAAAUAAACAUCUCACAGUGACUUAAUGAGUUACACAAAUCCAUGUCAUGUGAAGUAACAGGUCAGGUAUUGAUUUUCCCUGCGCUUUAUUGGAUAGAAUAUCUUCUAGUAUUAUUAUUGUACGUUGCCUGGUCUACACUUACUGUUUAUUGCUAAAUAAAUAAAUAUACUUUAAU